UACGGAGGAUGCGAGCGUUAUCCGGAAUCAUUGGGUUUAAAGGGUGCGUAGGCUGGUAUUUAAGUCAGUGGUGAAAUUUUCGUGCUUAACAUGAGAGCUGCCAUUGAUACUGGAUACCUUGAGUGUAAAUGAGGUAGGCGGAAUGUGUUGUGUAGCGGUGAAAUGCUUAGAUAUAACACAGAACACCGAUUGCGAAGGCAGCUUACUGGGAUACAACUGACGCUGAUGCACGAAAAGCGUGGGGAUCAAACAGG
rnacentral:rRNA from 1 species